UGGCAGACAGCACAGAGGAGCUUGUCAGCUGGGAUCCACAGCCUGCUAUAGAUGUGGGCAGGAGGGACAUUAUGCACGGGAAUGUCCUCAGGCAACUUUGGUUUCACCAUCCCAGCAGAUGAGUACGGGCAGUGUAGUACAGCCAGUAGCUUCAGCCAUACCACCAAGCAGUGGCAGAGGUAGAGGAAGAGGGGUAGCCUCUUCAUCAAGGAUGGGUUCCCGAGGUGCAGGUCCGUCAGCCCCAGCAUGGAUUUUCACCAUGAC
rnacentral:lncRNA from 1 species